rnacentral:rRNA from 1 species
GACGAACGCUGGCGGCGUGCUUAACACAUGCAAGUCGAACGAAGUGGCGAACGGGUGAGUAACGCGUAAUCAACCUGCCCUUCAGCGGGGGACAACAGUUGGAAACGACUGCUAAUACCGCAUACUGUAGGAGGGGAUUGCGUCUGAUUAGCUAGUUGGAGGGGUAACGGACCACCAAGGCGAUGAUAAGUAGCCGGUCUGAGAGGAUGAACGGCCAAAUUGGGACUGAGACACGGCCCAGACGCCUACGGGAGGCAGCAGGGGGGAAUCUUCCGGAAUGGACGAAAGUCUGACGGAGCAACGCCGCGUGAGUGAUGACGGCCUUCGGGUUGUAGAGCUCUGUUAAUCGGGACGCGGUACCGGAAGAGAAAGCCACGGCUAACUACGUGCCAGCAGCCGCGGUAAUAC